UACGUAGGGUGCGAGCGUUAAUCGGAAUUACUGGGCGUAAAGCGUGCGCAGGCGGUUUUGUAAGCCAGAUGUGAAAUCCCCGGGCUCAACCUGGGAAUGGCAUUUGGGACUGCAAGGCUGGAGUUUGGCAGAGGAGACUGGAAUUCCCGGUGUAGCAGUGAAAUGCGUAGAUAUCGGGAGGAACACCAAUGGCGAAGGCAGCUCGCUGGGACGGUACUGACGCUGAGACGCGAAAGCGUGGGGAGCAAACAGG
rnacentral:rRNA from 1 species